rnacentral:rRNA from 1 species
GAUGAACGCUGGCGGCGUGCUUAACACAUGCAAGUCGAACGAAGCACUUUAUUACGAUUUCUUCGGAAUGACGAUUUAGUGACUGAGUGGCGGACGGGUGAGUAACGCGUGGGUAACCUGCCUUAUACAGGGGGAUAACAGUUAGAAAUGACUGCUAAUACCGCAUAAGCGCACAGGAUUGCAUGAUCUGGUGUGAAAAACUCCGGUGGUAUAAGAUGGACCCGCGUCUGAUUAGCUUGUUGGUGGUGUAAUGGACUACCAAGGCGACGAUCAGUAGCUGGUUUGAGAGGAUGAUCAGCCACAAUGGGACUGAGACACGGCCCAUACUCCUACGGGAGGCAGCAGUAGGGAAUUUUGCGCAAUGGGCGAAAGCCUGACGCAGCAACGCCGCGUGUGUGAUGACGCCUUCGGGUGUAAACACUGUCAGUAGGACGAAUUUAGUACGGUACCUGGAGAAAAAGCCACGGCUAACUACGUGCCAGCA